rnacentral:misc_RNA from 1 species
GGGGUCAACAUAUUUAAAUGUGUGUAUAUAUACAAAAGAAAUUCUAAGAAAAAGAGAGGUCAAUUGACCUCCCAUUUUCUAAACUAAAUCCGCCACUGGAUUUAUGCCAUACGCCUGAACAAAGCAUCUGCAAUAUUAGGUGUAGACACUGAACAUACAAUUACAUAUUCUACCACCCAACAAACUUCUAAGGAUAUCUGUUUUCCCUGGCAUCAAAUCCCAUUAUAUGCUGAUUGCUAUUAGAUCUAUCUCAACCAUUAUUACCUGAUUUGUAGUUUGCCAUAGUACGCGGUACGGGUACGGGAUACACCAAUUCUUAUAAUUUGCAAUACAAUGGGAUAGGCUUAGUUAAUACACUGUAUGGGAUCAUAGUAUAGUUAAACGCUCAAUUCGUUUUGAAUUAUAUGCAUGAAAAAU